GUGCUUAACACAUGCAAGUCGAACGGAAAGGCCCUGCUUUUGUGGGGUGCUCGAGUGGCGAACGGGUGAGUAACACGUGAGUAACCUGCCCUUGACUUUGGGAUAACUUCAGGAAACUGGGGCUAAUACCGGAUAGGAGCUCCUGCUGCAUGGUGGGGGUUGGAAAGUUUCGGCGGUUGGGGAUGGACUCGCGGCUUAUCAGCUUGUUGGUGGGGUAGUGGCUUACCAAGGCUUUGACGGGUAGCCGGCCUGAGAGGGUGACCGGCCACAUUGGGACUGAGAUACGGCCCAGACUCCUACGGGGGGCAGCAGUGGGGAAUAUUGCACAAUGGGCGGAAGCCUGAUGCAGCAACGCCGCGUGCGGGAUGACGGCCUUCGGGUUGUAAACCGCUUUCGCCUGUGACGAAGCGUGAGUGACGGUAAUGGGUAAAGAAGCACCGGCUAACUACGUGCCAGCAGCCGCGGUGAUACGUAGGGUGCGAGCGUUGUCCGGAUUUAUUGGGCGUAAAGGGCUCGUAGGUGGUUGAUCGCGUCGGAAGUGUAAUCUUGGGGCUUAACCCUGAGCGUGCUUUCGAUACGGGGUGACUGAGGGAAGGUAGGGGAGAAUGGAAUUCCUGGUGGAGCGGUGGAAUGCGCAGAUAUCAGGAGGAACACCAGUGGCGAAGGCGGUUCUCUGGGCCUUUCCUGACGCUGAGGAGCGAAAGCGUGGGGAGCGAACAGGCUUAGAUACCCUGGUAGUCCACGCUGUAAACGGUGGGUACUAGGUGUGGGGUCCAUUCCACGGGUUCCGUGCCGUAGCUAACGCUUUAAGUACCCCGCCUGGGGAGUACGGCCGCAAGGCUAAAACUCAAAGGAAUUGACGGGGCCCCGCACAAGCGGCGGAGCAUGCGGAUUAAUUCGAUGCAACGCGUAGAACCUUACCUGGGUUUGACAUGGAUCGGGAGUGCUCAGAGAUGGGUGUGCCUCUUUUGGGGUCGGUUCACAGGUGGUGCAUGGCUGUCGUCAGCUCGUGUCGUGAGAUGUUGGGUUAAGUCCCGCAACGAGCGCAACCCUUGUUCACUGUUGCCAGCACGUUAUGGUGGGGACUCAGUGGAGACCGCCGGGGUCAACUCGGAGGAAGGUGGGGAUGACGUCAAGUCAUCAUGCCCCUUAUGUCCAGGGCUUCACGCAUGCUACAGUGGCUGGUACAGAGAGUGGCGAGCCUGUGAGGGUGAGCGAAUCUCGGAAAGCCGGUCUCAGUUCGGAUUGGGGUCUGCAACUCGACCUCAUGAAGUCGGAGUCGCUAGUAAUCGCAGAUCAGCAACGCUGCGGUGAAUACGUUCCCGGGGCUUGUACACACCGCCCGUCAAGUCAUGAAAGUUGGUAACACCCGAAGCCGGUGGCCUAACCGUUGUGGGGGAGCCGUCGAAGGUGGGACUGGUGAUU
rnacentral:rRNA from 1 species